rnacentral:rRNA from 1 species
UGAUUACGUUGAUAGGCUCUAUGUGUAAGACGAGUAAUCGUUUCAGCAGAGGAGUACUAAUACGCCGAUUCUUAUUG